GGCCUUGUAGUCAACUAUGAUUUUAAAUUGCAAGUUUAAAGGUGAAUUGUAUUCUAAGGCUU
rnacentral:tRNA from 1 species